rnacentral:misc_RNA from 1 species
AAGUCGUAACAAGGUUUCCGUAGGUACGUUAUCAACUCUCUCUACCCCUUUUGUGACAGCUUAACUAACAUUUUUCUAGGUGAACCUGCGGAAGGAUCAUUAAUGGGUUACUGAACUUCGGUUCAAUCUCCAACCCUGUGUCAAAUAUCAUCUUGUCUUGGCAUGGCCAGGUCUUUGGACUUGCCGGGGCUCGGUUUAUGACCACUCUGGUUCGUGUCUGCCAGUGGCCCCAUUAAAUUCUUUUUAACUAUUCUGUCUGAGUCACAAGUUAAAUUUAUAAAA